rfam:Triticum aestivum genome assembly, contig: Triticum_aestivum_CS42_TGACv1_scaffold_223689_3B
UGGAUACUCCCUCCGUCCGAAAAUACUUAUCAUCAAAAUGGAUAGAAAGGGAUGUAUCUAGAACUAAAAUACGUCUAGAUACAUCCUCUUUUAUUCAUUUUGAUGACAAGUACUUUUAAUGGAGAGAGUACUUU